ensembl:lncRNA
CUCUCGUUGGCUCAGUCAAUCACCCCCAUGCACAUGCCAAGCCAGAGCCUCCAGCCUCACCUGGACGUAGAGCUCUCCUUGCGCAGUAAGCUCCUUAUCCUUCGGAGUUUUCCUCCAUCUAGACUGUCCGAGCUCAAGCGUUUGAUGAAGGUUGGCUUGCCAGCAAAUCUCACUGGGAUUGGGAAGGCAGAGGAGACUUACCGUCAACCCUUUGGCUCACUCACCAGGGGCGCUCAGGCCUGUUCCCAGAACAUGCAAGAGGGCCGCUCUGCUCCCCCCACUGCUGACAUCUGUGCCGCCCGCGGACCCUCCCUGAAACCAUCUCUGGCCCCACUUCUCCUCUCUGCCAUCUUGGGACUCUCUUUUGGGAGUGCAUUAGUGACGGUGGCUUUGGGAAAGCGGAGCUGGGUGGUGACGAUGAGCUGACAGGGUGACUUUUGGGGACCAUAUCCUUUUGUUGGGGGAGGGCGGGGCCUAAGGUGCCGAGGUGCUCCUGCCAUAGCCAGGGAUGGGGGCACGUCACAGCCAGCGCCUUGGUUUUGGAGAGGCCAACAAUUCCUCGUGGGAAGAGGCCGUGCUGAGCUGGCGUGAAGCUUUGACGUAAGUCAGAGCCCUUGGCUGAUGUUCAGCAAGGGAUUUCCCAUCUCAAGUUGGUGGCUUGUGCUUUGGAAAGGCGCUGGAUGCUGCUUUACCUUUCUUGCCCUGUGCGAGAGGUGGCAAAGCCUCCUCUUCCUUUGGUUUCCCCUCCGCAGGGAUGCCUCCUGAGGACCUGCGGGAUAUCCCAGGUGGUGGUUUGGGACAAACUCCAUUUGAAACCUGUACGCGAGGAGACGACAGUGAGCGGUGGGACGCAGCGCUCCACCAAUCCUUGUUGCUCUCUCUGAUUGCCUGCUGACAGGCCCAUUUUCAUGCUGCAUGAUGGCCACUGCUUUCUAAAGGCUUCAGCAGGGCCAGGCUGAGAGCAACCUGAUGUGGCGCUUCUCAAGGAAGUCGUAAUAGAAUUUCAUGUGGAAGGUCAGUCCAUCGAUGUGGAGCACUCCAAUGUCCUUGAAGACAACGGCAACGUUCUCCCCAUUCUUCAGGCAGCCAGAGAGCAGGGACACGGUGCUUUGGAUGCAAGCCUGCGCUGUCUGCCAGGUCACAGAGGCAGCUGCGGCCACCUCGCUGCUCUUGAGCGGCUCCAGCUUCCUAUGGGCUGAAAAAUGGGAGGGACGGAGUUGAUGAUACGGUUGGUUUUCCGCAGUGCUUCCCUGGAACUGCUUCUUGUGGCCAUCAGCCAGAACGGCCCCAUGUUUGGCUGGGCUCCUCCGAGGGGGAGGUUUGCUUUGGAGAAUGGAGGCGGUGGCCCUGUUGGCCCUGUGCGUGAAGCCAGCAAAGCUUUAAUCCUCCCUCCUACCUGGCAGGGACUCCCUGCGGGGCUUGAGGUGGUGCACGGCUAUGAGGUUUCCAGACAAGUGAAAGACGGGCCACCGCAGAGUCACGGUCCCGUCCUCAGUCCUGAUGUCUCUGGAGAUGGUGUCAAAGGAUCCGAAGGUGGGAAUCCAGACCCCCUACAAGUGGUAGAGAAGGAAGGGCGGCAGGGUUAUGGGCCGGCUGGCUGGAGGAAGAGCCCAUGUAGCGGUCCAAGGCAGGGACGGAGCUCAGGAGCCCUCUCUCGCUGUUCAGAGGCACAAGCCAGGGCAUCGGGAAUGGCUUUGGGAAGGGGCUGCACAGUCCUCUCCUUCCCCUCACCCUCCCAAAUGCAGCACAGCAGUCAGGGCAGAAGCAGCCUGAUGGGAUCCAGAGGCUUCCCGCGAGCGGGAUCAGCCCUGAGACAGGACAGCGCCCAGCACAAGUGAUCCUGCGGGAUUUGCAGGAAGCCCAUGGCAUGCCCAGUAGAGACACG